AUGCCGAGUGGCCAUGAGGUGAAGGUCGGGGACACCAUCCUUAUAUCUCUCCACUCCAUGGGGAGAAUGGAAGACCUAUGGGGUAAAGACUGCCUUAACUAUAACCCGAAUAGGUGGUUGUCAAAGGAUGGCAACACCCUAAGGUACGUACCAUCUCACGAGUUCUUGGCCUUCAACUCAGGCUCGAGGAUCUGCCCUGGCAAGGAGAUUGCGGUUAUGCAGAUGAAGACCGUCGUUGCGACUGUGUUGUGGAACUUUGAUGUCGAGGUGGUGGAAGGGCAGAUCAUCCAGCCCAAGCCAUCUUGUAUACUACAGAUGAAAAAUGGAUUUAUAGUUAAACUAAGGAAGCGAGAAUUGUAA
rnacentral:rRNA from 1 species